rnacentral:rRNA from 1 species
CAGUAGCCGCGGUAAUACGGAGGGUGCAAGCGUUAAUCGGAAUUACUGGGCGUAAAGCGUGCGUAGGCGGUUCGUUAAGUCUGUUGUGAAAGCCCCGGGCUCAACCUGGGAAUGGCAAUGGAUACUGGCGAGCUAGAGUGUGUCAGAGGAUGGUGGAAUUCCCGGUGUAGCGGUGAAAUGCGUAGAGAUUGGGAGGAACAUCAGUGGCGAAGGCGGCCAUCUGGGACAACACUGACGCUGAGGCACGAAAACGUGGGGAGCAAACAGGAUUAGAUACCCCCGUAGUCCCUGUCUCUUAUAA